CCCACAUAUCUCAUAUUGCGAUUUGGAAAACAACUCUCACUCCCUUCUUACUUGAGUGAGAAAAUCUAGCUUGAGCAAGCUUUUUAUAUAUUGAACCAAGCAAUUGGCUUGAGAUUUUUAUUUCACUAGAGCAACAAUCAGCCCAUCAGACUUGAUGGGUUACUGUUCAAUUCCCACACCUUGACUCUCUCUCAUCAUCAACGCCACAACUCCUUCCUCUUCAAUGCUCUUCAAUUUCAUAUCUACCUACCAACAACCCAUAUAUCUGCUUCAAAUCUGUCACUCUGCCCUGUUCCUUUAUUUGCACAAACCCCUAACAGACCCAUAGUGAUUCGAAGAGGCUGUGAGACUGAAAGAAAGACAAAGAUGAUGCCGCCACUGUGAGGGAGAUGAGCCAUGUGUCGGGCUGAAAUUCGUGCUUGUGUGUGAGCAAUCUGUACGAAGGAUUAAAGGUAAAUGAACUGAAAAAGCAAAUAAACUGAAUGUUAAUUUGAAAAUUAUUAAAGAGCUAGUGCUUGCAGUCUUGUGUUGUGUAACUAAGCUCCCACUCCAUUUUGUAAGCAUCCUUGUUUCACACGGUUGUGGACCUAUCAUACUUAAGAAUUACUUCUGCAGCAGUUAUUGAGGUUCAAGCAGUUAUGGAAAUGGUGUUGAGUCUUCCAGGGUGCAAUCGGGUCAUCGCCUCCAUAUGUUUAGCUCCUUAUUUUUCAUGGAAAAUCAAAGUGCGAUGAACAUGUUUAUAGCAAAUAAGCAUGAUAAAAUGUUCCAGUUGCUUUGGCUAGAAAAACAGUACGAUAAAAGGCCUAAUCUUUGGUGAAUUGUGGUUGUAUUGAAGGGGUUAAUUUUUUAGGAGCGUAUGUGUUAUGUAAUUGGAGUAUUUGUCCUUUAUUAGUAUUGCUUUAAAACAUGUUGUGGGGUUAAGAAUUUAUGUUUUAUUUAAUUAUGGAAUAGGUUAAGAACUUAUGUUUUAAUGUUAUUUAUGUUGUAUGUUUUAUGUGAAUAGCUUGUGAAUGUAAUAAAGUGUUUCCAGCCAA